UUUGAUUGGAAAAUUGUUAACCCAUAUAAAAAUAAAAACAGAAAGGUCUAAAAAUUGCAUGGUGGACAUUGAAAUUUUUGGAGGCACACCUGCCACCAUUGAAAUGACCAUAGCCAAGCCAAUCCAUGGUGGGGUUAGAGCCAGAAGUUAGAGAUCAUAUGGUGAUCUUCUUGAGAGCAUUUGAUAAUGGAGAAAUGACUUUGAUUGGACUUGGUUUGUGCUUGUAGCCACUCGAAGAUAGUACAACGAAGAUCGAAGGCAGGUAAUACGUUUUUCUUCAUAGAUAAUUUUUGAGCUUGGACUUGAUGCCUUGAUCUAACAUAACAUGUGUGUGUGUAUUAUUCCUUUUAGCAUGUGAAAGAUGGACCUAUGACAUGUUCAAAUUGGUAGAAAUAUUGCCUUUUUAGCCUAAUAAAGUUACUAGAUAAUAAGUUCUUGUUUCCCAAACAAAAACCAUAUGGGGACUCUGGUAUUUGUUUUCUUUUUGGAUUGAUGAAAGACCUUGUGGACUUAGUUUGCACCAGAAGAGAACAUUUUAUAGAAAGAAAAGUAAGAAAAUUUUUUCAUUUUUUUUAGAAAUUAUAAAAAGAGAAGAGAAUUAUUCAUUUCGAAGAGGGCAAUUUUGAACUCAAGAUCUGUUUUUCCUUUUAUUUUUUUUUUUUAUUUAUACCAGGUACUUCUAACCCAUUGAAUUAAAACUGUUCCGCAAUAACUUUUCAAAUAGCUUUUAGACAAAACGCUAAAUACUAUUUUUUUACAAUGUUCGGUAACAUAGUGUUUGGACUAAUUUUUAGAGGUUAAGCUACAUUUUAUGAAAAGUUAACCCAUGUAACGUUUAACUUUUAGCAUUUCAUAAAAAAUUACUCAAACAACUAAACGUUAAACGCUAUUAAAACAGCUAAUAGCUACUAAAACAACUAAUUUUGCUGAACAAACCAUAAGUCUCUAAUCCUGUUUGCAACGCAUCAAAGAGGGAAGUUGCCCUCGGUAAAUAUUUUCUCCAUUUACAAAAAUUGAACACUUAACCUCUUACUUAAAAAUUCUGAAUCAUUUCCACUCAAAUUUACCCAUUGUUCAAACUCUAUUUAAUUUUUUUAUAUAUAAUUAGGAGGUGUAAUCAUUUUUGGACUGUACAACGUAAAAGUUUUUACCCUCCCAAUAAAGCGUAUUUUCGGAGAUUAAACUUGUGUUAUAAUAGAAAAUAGAUUUCUACUUAAUAAUUCAUUCCUAAGAAAAUCAAGAAACAUAUUCGUCGCUAAUAUUUUUGAGGUUGACCAUAAGAGGGAGAGGGAUGAUGAUGAUGAAGUGUCGGCAGUCGAGUCGGCUGGGUAUGGGGUUUGGAAUAUUAAUUACUGGCUGACAAAAGCAUUUCUGACCCCUAAAAUUAUUUUGUGUUUGGUGUUGGCUUUUUUAUUAUGUUCAUAAAAUAUUUAGUAGAAGUUCAUCUUCAAAUGAAACCUGAAUGUACAGGCUGAGGUAAUUAUUAUAUAAUAUGCUUUUAAUAAUUUAUACUUGAAGGUUAGUCAUCUAGAAAAAGGUCCAAAGAAAUUUCUUUAUGCAAAUGCAGGGUCUAAGGAACUCAUUGAAAUUUUUUAAUUUUUUUUUCUCAAAUCGGAGGCAUUCAGGAUCGUAUUACCGUACAUAUAAUUUGACUAUUCUCAUCCCUUUAGGAGGUAAGUAAAGUGCUAACUUCUAAGAGAAUUUUAUGUGUCGAGAAUUUAUGACGUCAUAAAUAUCUCAAUUGUGUUUAGCCAUUAUGUUAUUUUCGUGGUUUAUUGAAAUUUAAAAAUUUUUUUUUUUAUAUAUAAUGGAAUCAUUUAGGUUUGAUUUUCUAUAUUUUUAACAGAAUGGUCGUUUUCUAAUUACCAAGAAUAUGCCUGAAAUUUUAUAAAAUAGACCAUGAUUUAAUCACAUCACAUGCAUGAUAUUCAAAAAGUGGGACUUUGUUGCUUCCUGCUGUACAAAUAAAAUCAGCAACUCACCCAAUUGUUCCACUAUUCCAAUUCUCAUAUUAUUAUUAUUAUUUUAUAGUGGAUUGCUAAUAAAAACAACUAAUAAAAUUACAUAUACUUAAAAAUAGUAUUAAUGUCUAUAACCCGUCAUGCUCUCCUAAGAAUUAAUCGUUCCUUGAAAAGAAAAUACUAAUUAAAUAAUUCUCAAUUUUUUAUAUAUAUAGUGGUUAGUAUUCACAAGUCAGUUAUUUAACUAAUCAAACACUAAAAGUUUAAGGAGCCAGAAAAGUUGAAAUUUAAGUGUAAAAAGGAGAAAUUAAUUAAGCUAGAUAUACCCAACUGCGAAACUAAUUAGUUUAAUUGCUAGUUUGCGCCAAGCCCAUAAAAGGGAAAAUGCUCCCUUUUAUAAAAAUCGAACAUUCAAUCUCUUACUUAAAGAACUCGAAUCAUUUCCACUCAAAUCAAUUUUGUUUCGUUAAGGUACACGAUUCUAACAUUUCUAAAUCAGGAGAAAAACGUUUAUAAUUACACAGUUAAUCUAUAACCAAAUGCCUUACUUGUUUGGGUAUAAAUUAGGGCUCCAAUCUUUAAAAGGAAAGGUUCCUCUAUAUAUAUAGCAAUGCACGUAUUAAUUUUAUGGCCUUUGACAUAGAAAGCUUCCUAACAUUGAAAACCAUGUAUAAGGAAUAUUUGUUUCGUUUGAUGUCAUUCUUUUAAAUUAUUUUUUAACAUAAAAAAUUGUCGUUUGUACAUAAUUAAAAAACCUACAAUAAUAUUAAAAUGAGCAGUGAAAAUAUCUCAUUUUUUAAAAAUUAUAUUUAAAAAAAUAAUCAAAUUAAAGUCCGGUAAAAAUUAAAACUAACUGAACGACUUUUAAAAUAAAUAAUCAAAAUAAAUUUUUUUUUUUUUUGUUAUUCUUCUGUGUAAAAUAAAGUUUUCUUUUGUAGAUAAUGCUAUUACAAUAGUUUUGUCCAAUGGCGUCUUUGUCGUUAACGUAUUUUUCCUUGAAAAAAAUCACGGGGAAGAGAAACUAGUUUGCAUGAAAUAUACAUAUAUUUCAAAUGUUGCAGAAAAUUUAUGAAGGGUCUCAAUCCUGCUAUAUACAAGAGAAACAUCCAUUUUUCUGCAUGUGAAUUUCACUGCCGUACGUACUGGUCUAUUCUAAUGGAUAGAGAGACAGAGACGACUAAUAAUUAAUUACGAUAUUGUAAUUAAUUGGCCAAAAUAAUUCACCGUUAUAAAAAAUAAUAGGGUUUGAGUCGGUAGGCAAUCUCCGUCCGGAAAUAUUAUUUUCAUUUCCAAUCUCUAUCUUUUAUCCGAUACCUUAUCGAGAAGGUAAUGUUAUUUUUAUUUUCAAACUCAAUGGAUUCAAGUGAUAUUAAUAAUGAAUGCUAUUUACCUGCAAGUACAUAUAUGAUCUAUAACAAAUAAUUCAUAUCUAGCUAUAUAUAUUAAAGUAUUAGAAAAAGGAUUUGAAUUUGGAUUUAUUACCGUAUCGUACAUGGAAGCUCUUAAUUCAACUGUAUAAAAUUAAUUAUGUUAUAUUUUAAAUUUAUCUAUUAAAAUAAAAUUUUGAAAAUAAAAAUUAAAAUAUAUAUAAAAUUACAAAAUAUAUAUAUAUAUAUAUAUAUAUAUGUUAUUUGGUAACCUCUGAGAGUUCUANNNNNNNNNNNNNNNNNNNNNNNNNNNNNNAUAUAUAUAUAUAUAUAUAUAUAUAUAUAUAUAUAUAUCUAAGUUUAUGAAAAGUUACAUGCUACAAUCUUAAAAAAGUCACAGUAUUUCUAAUCUUGCAGGUUCUAGAUUUCCAAUUAGGGUAUUUUCCAUCUUCAAAAGUUUGGAUUCGAAUUUAGAAUCGUGUUAUCGGUACUCUAUUUAUACCCAGAAUAAAACUCUGGGAAUUUACCCAAAUAUAAUCAAAUCACAAUUUUCAGAUUUGAGUAGGUUCGGACUGAGUGCAUACCCAUUAGGAUUAGGUCAGGUUGAUUUUGCUAUCCCUGACCAUGGACAAAGGAACUAAACAAAGACCCCUUUUCCUCAGUUCUGUACUUUCUCUUUCCCUUCCAAUAAAACCCAAAUGAUCACUUCUGCUCUCAUCAUCUGCUAUGCCACUUAUUAUUCCUUUUGCCUGCAAAAUUAAUGAACAAAAUUAUUCAACAUAUGAAAAAAGAAUUAUGAAUAUUUACCUAGUGGGUGUUUAAUAAUUAAUUUACCUACCUGUGAUAAUGAAAUAUCCAUGUUGUUAUGUCUCUGUUUUGUGCUCUUAUUGAACUGAUUCAUCAUAUCAUAAACCUGCAUAUUUAUUUUCACAUAAACAAAAAGAGAAUAGUAUAAGUAAUAUAACUCUUUCUCUUCUAAAAUUUUCUGAUAUAAUUAUUAAAAAGAAUAUAAUUGAUAGGAAAAAGAAAAGAAAACAGAAUAUAUAUAUAUAACAGCUCUGACCUUGGGGCUAUUGACAGGAGAACUAGCAGUAUCCUCCAAAGCAUCAUCAUCAACCAAAGAAUUAUUAGCAAUGCCUUUGGAUUUUCUCUUCUUGAAACUCAACUUGCUAUAACAUU
rnacentral:lncRNA from 1 species